rnacentral:rRNA from 1 species
UUGACUUCAACUCAGGAAAGAACACUCGCUGAGUUUAAGCAUAUAAUUAAGCGGAGGAAAAGAAACUUACAAGGAUUCCCCUAGUAGCGGUGAGCGAACCAAGAAGAGCCCAGCAUGAAAGUUGGGCGGCAGCAUCACCUGAAUUGUAGUUUGUAGAAGCGUCCUCAGCAGUGGACCUGGGCCAAGUCCCUUGGAAGGGGGCACCUCAGAGGGUGAUAGCCCCAUUGGGCUGGGACCUUGACGCAUCACGAGGCAUUGUCAGAAAGUUGGGUUGUUUGGGGAUGCAGCCCUAAUUAGGUGGUAAAUUCCACCAAAGGCUAAAUACGGGUGAGAGACCGAUAGCGAACAAGUACCACGAGCGAAAGAUGAAAAGGACUUUGAAAAGAGAGUUAAAGAGUGCUUGAAAUUGCCGGGAGGGAAGUGGAUGGAGGCUGUCAAUGAGUCUCAGUCAGAUGUGGAAUGGCUCAGGCUGGUCUGCCACUCGACUUGAGGUGCAAACCGACACGGGUUGCUGCAUCGUCACAAGUGCGGGUGGAAUACUGUCUGUCGGUUUAUCGUUGUGGUGGUUGAGGAAUGAAGCGUGCACCCUUGUGGCGGGUCGUGUGCACCUGCAUGCUUGUGGUGUUUGUUGGCAGGCUUUCUAUUCGACCCUUCUUGAAACACGGACUAAGGAGUCUAACAUGUGUGUGAGUUGGCAGGUUUGAAAACCUGUGAGGCACAAGGAAGCUGACGGGAAAGAUCCCCUCUUUGGGGGGUGCAUCAUCAACUGACCUUGAGCUUAUGCGAAGGGUUCGAGUGCAAGCACACCUGUUGGGACCCGAAAGAUGGUGAACUAUGCCUGAGUAGGGCGAAGCCAAAGGAAACUUUGGUGGAGGCUCGUAGCGAUACUGAUGUGCAAAUCGUUCAUCCGACUUGGGUAUAGGGGAGAAAGACUAAUCGAACCAUCUAGUAGCUAGUUUCCUCUUAAUUUUCCCUCAGGAUAGCUGGAGCUCACACGCGAGUUUUAUCGGCUAAAGAAAAUGAAUAUAGGCAUCGGGGGUGUAAUUCCGUCGACCUAUUCUCAAACUUUAAAUAGGUAAGAGGGUGCGGUUGCUCCAUUGAGCAGUGCCGUGGAAUCGAGAGCUCCAAGUGGGCCAUUUUUGGUAAGCAGAACUGGCGAUGUGGGAUGAACCAAAAGUCGAGUUAUGGUGCCGAAUUGUGUGCUAACCUAGAUCCCACAAAGGGUGUUGGUUGAUUAAGACAGCAGGACAGUGGUCAUGGAAGUUGAAAUCCGCUAAGGAGUGUGUAACAACUCACCAGCCAAAUCAACUAGCCCUGAAAAUGGAUGGCGCUGAAGCACGCAACCUAUACUCAACCAUCGGAGCAAUUGCCUAGCUUCGAUGAGUAAGAGGACGCGGGGGUUGUUGAGAAGCCUCGCGCAUGAGCUUGGGUGGAUCGGCCCCCGGUGCAAAUCUUGGUGGUAGUAGCAAAUAUUCAAAUGAGAACUUUGAAGACUGAAGUGGGGAAAGGUUCCAUGUGAACAACACUUGGACAUGGGUUAGUCAAUCUUGAGAGAUGGGGAAGCCUUGUAUCAAGGGUGCACUUUGCACGAGCAUCGAAAGGGAAUGGGGUUAAUAUUCCUGAACAGGGACAUGGCGGCGGGUGGCAAUGUUAGGAAAUACGGAUAUGUUGUCGAGGGCCCCGGGAAGAGUUAUAUUUUCUUUUUAAUAGCUUUCCCACCCUAGAAUCGGUUCACCCAGAGAUAGGGUCCAGUAGCUGGAAGAGCACCGCACAUCUUGUGGUGUCUAGUGCGCCCUCGGCGGCCCUUGAAAAUCUAGAGGACUGAGUACUGUUCAUGCUCAUAACCGCAUCAGGUCUCCAAGGUGAACAACCUCUGGUCAAUAGAACAAUGUAGGUAAGGGAAGUCAGCAAAACGGAUCCGUAACUUUAGGAAAAGGAUUGGCUUUGAGGGUUGGGCCUAGGGGUCUACACCCUCAACUCGUGGGCUAUCCGCAGUCUGACCGAGCUGCUCUCGUGGCGAGGGUGAGCAGUCACGUGCUAAUUGGGCUAUGGGUGUAGAAUGCCCCCUGUUGGGGGCUUUUCCCUAGACGUCGAACAAUCGACUUAGAACUGGUAUGGACAAGGGGAAUCUGACUAUUUAAUUAAAACAAAGCAUUGCGAUGGUCCCUAUGGAUGCUGACCUAAUGUGAUUUCUACCCAGUUCUUUGAAUGUCAAAGUGAAGAAAUUCAACCAAGCGCGGGUAAAUGGCGGGAGUAACUAUGACUCUCUCAAGGUAGCCAAAUGCCUCGUCAUCUAAUUAUUGGCGCACCUGAAUGGAUUAACGAGAUUCCCACUAUAUCUACUAUCUAGUGAAACCAAAACCAAGUAAAUGGGCUUGGCAGAAUCGACAAGGAAAGAAGACCAUGUUGAGCUUGACUCUAGUUCGACUUUGUGAAAUGACUUGAGAGGUGUAGAAUAAGUGGGAGCCAUUUUCGGCGCAGGUGAAAUACCACUACUUUUAGUGUUAUUUUACUUAUUACGUGGGGCAGAGAUGGGGCACUGCCCCUAUUUUUCGCCUUAAGGUACAUUUCGGCGGGUCAAUCCAUGCGGAAGACUUGUCAGGUGGGGAGUUUAGCUGGGGCAGCACAUCUGUUAAAAUAUAAUGCAGGUGUCCUAGGAUGAGCUCAACGAGAAUAGAAAUCUCAUGUGGAACAAAAGGGUAAAAGCUCAUUGGAUUUUCAUUUUCAGUACGAAUACAAACUGUGAAAGCGUGGCCUAUCGAUCCUUUUGAUUUUUGGAAUUUGAAGCUAGAGGUGUCAGAAAAGUUACCACAGGGAUAACUGGCUUGUGGCAGCCAAGCGUUCACAGCGAUGUUGCUUUUUGAUCCUUCGAUGUUGGCUCUUCCUAUCAUUGUGAAGAAGAAUUCACUAAGUGUUGGAUUGUUCACCCACCAAUAGGGAAUGUGCGCUGGGUUUAGACCAUCGUGAGACAGGUUAGUUUUACCCUACUGAUGAACCGCACCACAAUAGUAAUUCAAUUUAGUAUAAGAGGAACCGUUGAUUCACACAAUUGGUCAUCGCACUUGGUUGAAAAGCCAGUGGUGUGAAGCUACCGUGUGUUGGAUUAUGACUGAACGCCUCUAAGUCAGAAUCCAUGCUAGAAGCGGUGCAUGUCACUCUUCGACUAUAUCUCGACCCGCAGUAGGGGCGUCGCUUUGUCGCCGCCAGGGGCCUGUGUCAUUUGAAAACCGUGACCGUGAAGCAUCUUGGUUAGGGAAGCAUUGAAAUUCAAUUCCAAACUGUCUUUGAGAAGAAU